rnacentral:tRNA from 1 species
CCCUGGGUGGCUCAGUCGGUUGAGCGUCUGACUUCAGCUCAGGUCAUGACCUCACGGCCUGUGGGUUCGAGCCCCGUGUCGGGCU